GUUAGAAUGGCUGAGCACAAUAGGCAGUAGAUUGUAAAUCUAUGUACGAGGGCGUCCUCUUCUAUCA
rnacentral:tRNA from 1 species